rnacentral:rRNA from 1 species
GAUGAACGCUGGCGGCGUGCCUAAUACAUGCAAGUCGAGCGAACCACUUCGGUGGUGAGCGGCGAACGGGUGAGUAACACGUAGGUCAUCUGCCCAUCAGACGGGGACAACGAUUGGAAACGAUCGCUAAUACCGGAUAGGACGAAAGUUUAAAGGUGCUCCUGGCACCGCUGAUGGAUGAGCCUGCGGCGCAUUAGCUAGUUGGUAGGGUAACGGCCUACCAAGGCGACGAUGCGUAGCCGACCUGAGAGGGUGAACGGCCACACUGGGACUGAGACACGGCCCAGACUCCUACGGGAGGCAGCAGUAGGGAAUCUUCGGCAAUGGGCGAAAGCCUGACCGAGCAACGCCGCGUGAAUGAUGAAGGCCUUCGGGUUGUAAAAUUCUGUUAUAAGGGAAGAACGACUUUAGUAGGAAAUGGCUAGAGUGUGACGGUACCUUAUGAGAAAGCCACGGCUAACUACGUGCCAGCAGCCGCGGUAAUACGUAGGUGGCGAGCGUUAUCCGGAAUUAUUGGGCGUAAAGAGCGCGCAGGUGGUUGAUUAAGUCUGAUGUGAAAGCCCACGGCUUAACCGUGGAGGGUCAUUGGAAACUGGUCAACUUGAGUGCAGAAGAGGGAAGUGGAAUUCCAUGUGUAGCGGUGAAAUGCGUAGAGAUAUGGAGGAACACCAGUGGCGAAGGCGGCUUCCUGGUCUGUAACUGACACUGAGGCGCGAAAGCGUGGGGAGCAAACAGGAUUAGAUACCCUGGUAGUCCACGCCGUAAACGAUGAGUGCUAAGUGUUGGGGGUCGAACCUCAGUGCUGAAGUUAACGCAUUAAGCACUCCGCCUGGGGAGUACGGUCGCAAGACUG